rnacentral:rRNA from 1 species
GUGGGGAAUAUUGGACAAUGGGCGAAAGCCUGAUCCAGCCAUGCCGCGUGUGUGAAGAAGGUCUUCGGAUUGUAAAGCACUUUAAGUUGGGAGGAAGGGCAGUAAGUUAAUACCUUGCUGUUUUGACGUUACCGACAGAAUAAGCACCGGCUAACUUCGUGCCAGCAGCCGCGGUAAUACGAAGGGUGCAAGCGUUAAUCGGAAUUACUGGGCGUAAAGCGCGCGGAGGUGGUUUUGUAAGUUGGAGGUGAAAUCCCCGGGCUCAACCUGGGAACUGCCUCCAAAACUGCAUGACUAGAGUACGGUAGAGGGUAGUGGAAUUUCCUGUGUAGCGGUGAAAUGCGUAGAUAUAGGAAGGAACACCAGUGGCGAAGGCGACUACCUGGACUGAUACUGACACUGAGGUGCGAAAGCGUGGGGAGCAAACAGGAUUAGAUACCCCUGUAGUCC